rnacentral:rRNA from 1 species
AUGCCCCCAUGGGAGCGUUUUCGCGAGCUCUGCCUCCUACGGUUCGGGCCGCCGAUACGCGGGAGCCGGCUGGCGGAGCUGGGCCGCCUACCCUUCACCUUCACGGUGCAGGACUUCGCCGACCGCUUCCAGGCCCUGGCGUGCCACGCACCUAGCGUGACGGCUCGUCAGUGGGCCGAGCUCUUCGUGGGCGGUCUGCCGGAUCAUAUCCGCGUGGACCUGGAGCUGUGGGGACCUCAGGACCUCCAGACGGCCAUGUAUUAUGCCCGCGCCUUCGAGCGUCGCGCGCAGGCCUUGCAGCAGGCGUCGCCGCCUCGAGGCGCCCGACAGCCCGCCAGGCCAUGCCCGACACCACCCGUGCCGGGGCGUCCGCCUCCGGCCUCUGCAAUGACCACCACUCCAGCCGCGACACGGCCCUUCCGCCGGCUCACCCCGGCAGAGCAGCUCGAGCGUCGUCGCCAGGGGCUAUGCUAUAAUUGCGACGAGCCUUACGUGUCGGGCCACGUCUGCCCGUGGCUCUUCUACUUGGAGGCGGCCGACUACAUCGAGGAGGACACCAUCGCCGAUGGGCUCGGCGACUUGCCCAUCCAAGUUGCUGCGGAGGUCGCGACAAUGCCCGCUCUGACGAUGGCUCUCGCGGUCUCCCUCCAUGCCCUCGCGGGUAUAUGA